CAUUAGAUGGCUGAAAGUAAGUAUUGGUCUCUUAAACCAUUUUAUAAUAAAGUAACGUUUAUUUCUAAUGA
rnacentral:tRNA from 1 species